CACAGCAAAGUGCUCCUCGGAUGUGCUGUGCUGUCACAGAGUCAUCAGAGUCGGAAGAGACCUCUGGAGAUCACCCAGUCCAACCCUUCUGCUAAAGCAGGAUCCCCUGGAGCACAUUCCCCAGGGCUGCAUCCAGGAACCAGGGCUGUUAAAACAAGCAACCAGUCCCCAACAAAAGCCUCUAUCAAACCCCAGGAUUGGUUUUCCUGGUGUUUUGACAGUGGUUUAGAACCACACACCACACAGGCAGCGACGAGGUCCACUCAGGAAAUGAGUCAAAGAUGACAAGAAUGUGGCAAAGUGCAGAUCAGCAUUUCCAGGGCAACUUGGGAAGGACAUCAGGGGAAGACUUCAAGACCAGGAGGGUGAUCCAAGUAGGACACACCAGAAAGAUGAUCCCACCUCUUCCAAGACCUGGAUGUAAAUGAGGUUAUUAACACGAGUCCCAGGGCAGGUGUCCAAGCUGCCACCACCUGUUGAGAACCUGAACUCAAGGCAUGAGUGUUUUGGGUUCCUGGCAACUUUUUUGGUUUGUUUGGGUUUUUUUUUGGGAGUUCAGGAGGUGCAGGGUCAAGUUUUUGGAACCAUCACCCAAACUGAUCUCCCACAGGGUC